rnacentral:misc_RNA from 1 species
GAUGAAGAACGCAGCAAAAUGCGAUAAGUAAUGUGAAUUGCAGAAUUCAGUGAAUCAUCGAAUCUUUGAACGCACAUUGCGCCCGCCAGUAUUCUGGCGGGCAUGCCUGUUCGAGCGUCAUUUCAACCCUCAAGCACAGCUUGGUGUUGGGACUCGCGUUAAUUCGCGUUCCCCAAAUUGAUUGGCGGUCACGUCGAGCUUCCAUAGCGUAGUAGUAAAACCCUCGUUACUGGUAAUCGUCGCGGCCACGCCGUUAAACCCCAACUUCUGAAUGUUGACCUCGGAUCAGGUAGGAAUACCCGCUGAACUUAAGCAUAUAAAUAAGCGGAGGA